AUUGAGAAGGUGAAAUCAAUAGGUGCUCAGCAGUUGACACAAAAUCUAGGGGCUUAUCCGAUGAGGUGUUUAGUCAUGACACUCAGGGUCUUUCUGAAGUAGGCGGUGCCCAUGAAAAAAAUGUGUCUCAUCCUACUAAAGACGUAAAUCAGUUGAAGGAUGACUUUAAAGCUCGAACCCUCCAGGUAGAUGAACUAACCAAGCAGCUUGCAGACAUGAAGAAUCAGAAAGAGACAUUAGAGUCCCAAUUGUCGGAGAUGACUAAGCAGAAGGAAACCGCUGAAGCCAAGUGCUCAGAGCUGGAAGCUACCAAUGUCAGCUUGGUCCGUGAAGCAGAAUAGGCUUGGGCUCUUUAUGAGACCUUAAAAAAGUCUUUGCAAUAUGCCCAUGUGGAUUUGCUCUCUGUCGGGGAUGAUGCCUUCGAGAGAGCUAAAGCUCAAGCUUUAUGUCUCAUGCCCGACCUGGAUGUGACAAGGAUGGACUUUUCCAAGACUGUGGUGGAUGAGCAAUUGGUUGAAAUGGAGUAUGCUUCCCCUGAGACAUAGAAUUUGAAGGAUGCGAUGGUGAAUAAUCCGACAUUUGAAGCUCAAGAAGACAACCAACAUGAAGUUUAAAUUUGUUAAUGUUU
rnacentral:lncRNA from 1 species